rnacentral:rRNA from 1 species
GAUUAUGACCAUACUGUGCUGCCUGUGUACAUUCUCGUUUGAUGUUGGAAGCUAAGCAGAGUUGGGCCUUUUUGGGACUUGGAUGGCUAAACAGCAGAUGACAUAGACA